rnacentral:rRNA from 1 species
UACAGAGGUCCCAAGCGUUGUUCGGAUUCACUGGGCGUAAAGGGUGCGUAGGUGGCAUGGCAAGUUUGAUGUGAAAGCUCAGGGCUCAACCCUGAAAUGGCAUUGAAUACUGCUGUGCUGGAGGUUUGGAGGGGGGACUGGAAUUCUCGGUGUAGCAGUGAAAUGCGUAGAUAUCGAGAGGAACACCAGUGGCGAAGGCGAGUCCCUGGACAACACCUGACACUGAGGCACGAAAGCUAGGGGAGCAAACAGG